AGAAGAUGAAGAAUAAAUUAAUUAAAAAUGAUAAUAAUAAUAAUAAGAAGAUGAAGAAUAAAUUAAUUAAAAAUGAAUUAAAAUCCGAGUCGGUGUGCAGGCGGAAGGCGGGUCACUCCAGGCUGCUGCAGUCGUCACUGUCGCUGCUAGUUGUAUCAUGAUCCAGGAUGACCGGGGAAGGACUCGGAGGAGGAAGACUGAACUGCUGGGGACCUGGAAUGUAGAAGAUCAUCGUUAAGCGUACAAUUUGGUGACAUGGGUAAAGCUCCAUGAAACUGUAAAAGGUUCAGCACAUCCCUCUUGCCCCUCAAACGCUUCAAGAGAAAGAGCAAUUGAAUUUCAGCGCGAAGUGGUUGGUGAGGAUGUGGCGAAGGAUUCUUCCGAACCGCGUCACCAGGAUUGCAGCCCCCAAGCGCACUAAGGUGUGCUGCCUGCAGAUAGAGUGUCUGCUGCUGCUGUCGUUUUUUGCCUAGUAAGGGCCUGGAGGAGGAGGUUGUUCUGCCUCACCAAGGCCUUCAACUCCUCCACAGCACGCAGGAGUGCAUGAUCCCGUUCUACAGGACAGAAAAACAUCAUGACUGUCAUGUCAAGAGGUGCUCCUGGUUUGGGCUUUUUUCAGGUUCAUACGCGCUGCAUCAUAAUUGGCUGUUGAAGACAACAAUGAAGUCUCAUCUGGCAUAGCGCUUUGGAUGACUGCAAUUUUCGUCCGCUUGGUGUCUUUAUACGGUGGCCAAAAAGACACCUUGUCAGCUCAAACUUAGCCACGAGCAAGGCACAACCUCCACCUCAUUUGACUCGGUUCCCAACCACAGCUGUCCCCAGUGCAGUUGAAUCAACAGGGUGGUUGAAAAAUGGACGUUGAAUCUGUCCCUCCUCUGAAUCUGAGCCAUUGCUAGAGCUCGACAAAUCAUUGAACUCCCAGUCAUCCUCGCCAGAGGAGGCGCUCUCCUCUGAUGCCAUUACCCAAUCCCCAUCUCCGCUUUCGUCGUCGUUUUCUAUUUCUGUGUAAGCUGGGACACUUGGUGGUGUGUCUAAUGUGUCUGCGCCAGCGGCCAGGUUAAAUUCCCAUCUCUCAGACUUACCUGAUCCUCCAUCCAAACUCUGAUGUUGGAAUCCAUGCUGUCCAGUCCAUGUGAAGAGCACAGGAAGCACACUUAAUAGUAGGGUAUCACCAUAUGUCUGGUUGAGCUCCACAAAAGAUCUCGUCUGGCUCAGCUGUUUGAAGCGCAUCUACCUAAAUGUGUCAUUGUAAGGUGGUCUCCCUCUCUCCCUCCCCACCUCCCUCUCUCCCUCCCCACCUCCCUCUCUCCCUCCCUCCCUUAUCACUCCUAGGCACACCAGGUGCAAAGUCCAGCACAAAUUGGGUCACCAAGCCUACAUCUAGGUGUUGUAAUGGACUGUCCGCUUUUAAAGCCUAAGGGGAGAAAAGUGACCUGGGCCCUCUUGCAUGCACCUUUCGCAGUGGUAAUAGGAAUUGUGUGCUUUUAUUUUUUUUUAGAAAUGCCCAUGCCUGUGCAUCACAGACAAAACAGGAAAUUUCGAUUUUACUUAGAACAGUAACCCGGCUUGCGGAGGUACCUUCCCUUACACCCAAACUCCUUUUCUGUACAUAGUUUCUCAUUUAUUUAUUUUGUCUGUUCAGUCAAAUUGCAAAGAUUGUAUUUAUAUAUUGCAUUUCAUUUUCAUCAGUUU
ensembl:lncRNA